UAUGUAUGCAUGGACUUGAUAACUAG
rnacentral:piRNA from 1 species